UCCUUUGCCAUUGUCUCUAAAGGUGACCAUCCCUCCAUUCUUAGCAUCAAGAGUGAUGAAUUGGGAUUCAUUACCAGUCAUGUGUCUCGAGCAUCCACUGUCAAGAUACCAUUUCCUGUUUCCUCCUUGGGAUGCUAGACACACCUGCAAGCAAAAGUCAAGUUUUUGUUUUAGGUACCCAAGCUUUCUUGGGUCCUUUUUGGUUAGUCAUAAUGGUUCCUUUUGGAACCCAUAUUUUUUUUAUAUUUGAGUUUGUAGAUUUGUUAGAGAAGCAAGUGUAUGACUUAUAUCCCACUCUACCAUAUUUAAAGCAAGUAAUAUUAGAAGACUUGUUACUUAAAGAGUUUACAUAGAUAUUUUUCAGAUACUUUUGUUUCUUCAAGGGGUUAUAGCCAAGUCCAGCCUUAUCAUACACGGCCUUUUGA
rnacentral:lncRNA from 1 species